rnacentral:rRNA from 1 species
UACGGAGGGAGCUAGCGUUGUUCGGAAUUACUGGGCGUAAAGCGCACGUAGGCGGCUUUGUAAGUUAGAGGUGAAAGCCCGGGGCUCAACUCCGGAAUUGCCUUUAAGACUGCAUCGCUUGAAUCCGGGAGAGGUGAGUGGAAUUCCGAGUGUAGAGGUGAAAUUCGUAGAUAUUCGGAAGAACACCAGUGGCGAAGGCGGCUCACUGGACCGGUAUUGACGCUGAGGUGCGAAAGCGCGGGGAGCAAACAGG